CCGCUCCCCGUUCCUCCCGA
rnacentral:miRNA from 1 species